GAGUAAAAUUGUAUUUCCUCUAUGAUGACGGUCAAUGGAUGACUAUUAACCACGUUACGCUACUAACUCAAGUGCUAGAUCCUCGUAUUAUUGAAGGUUGGAAAUUACGAGAAUUGUAAUAAAUGAUAAACGAGUAGGAAUAAAAAUUUGUUGGAGUAGGAGACGAGAUAAAUAAUAAUAAAAAAUUGUGAUGUCAUCAAUCAAUACAAACGGCAAACGCAAACCAGGUGCAGGUGUAAAGUAUCGAUCUUGAGUGAAUCACCACAUAAACCAGACAACUCCUCUACCGCAAACUGUUGCCUAAAUUCACUACAUUAAUUUAGGUCAGACAUCCUCAAAUACCACCAAAACCACUAUGACGACACCUGCAAAACUCUACGGAAAAGAUCUUAGUGCCUAUGAGGAAAUUGAUGUUGAAGACUUAUUAGCAAAGUUAUCUGCCGAAGAAAUUAAUAUUCUUGCAAAAGAAGUUGACCCUGAUGAUAGUUUUUUACCUCCUUCACAAAGAUGUAGCUAUGAUUGUGAUAGGGAAUCUACCGGACCAUUAAAUCGAAAGCAACUCAUUGAACAUAUAAAUAAACAAGCAAUUGAAACGCCCGAUGUACCAGAUGUUAAACCGUACGUUGCGGGGGUAGUUCGAGGGAAAAAAUGGAUUCCUCCAGAUCCGCCGAAAAAAGAACAAGAUGCGGAUGAACAAAUUACAAUUGACCUCGGUGAUGAGUACGAAAGUGCUCUCCAAGACGCUUCUCAAGAAGAAAUUAUUGAUCUCGCUGCUAUUUUGGGAUUCCAUUCUAUGAUGAAUCAAGAUCAGUAUCAUGCAUCUCUUUUAAACAAAGGACAGCCUGUAGGUGUCGGGUGGGAUGGCAUUACGAAAGCGUCCAAACAAAAAAUAUACCCCCAGGAUCCUCCUAACGAUACAGAUCCUGAGGGUACAUUAAAACAAGUAAAAGAAGAUAGUCCUAAGUUAAUAGAUUUAAAUUGGAAUAACAUAAAGAAUAUUUCUGAAGAGAAAUUUGACAGUCUAUUUGAUGCGUUGGCGAACAACUCUCAUUUAGAAAUUUUAUCUUUAACAAAUGUUGGCCUCACCGAUAGACAAGCGUUCAAAUUGGCAGAUGCUUUAGAAAAAAAUAAUACGCUAAAAGUUGUAAAUGUAGAAACUAAUUUUAUUUCGCCAUCUGGAAUUGUGAGACUGGUUAAAUCACUUUUGAAGACGAAAUCAGUUGAAGAAUUCCGAGCUACUAAUCAGAGGUCACAAGUUUUGGGGAAUAAAAUAGAAAUGGAGAUCACGUCGUUGGUAGAACAAAAUCCAACUCUACUACGAUUGGGUUUGCAUUUAGAAUAUAAUGAUGCUCGCCACCGCAUUGCCGCACAUCUUCAGCGCAAUAUUGACACAAUUCGAAAAGACUUAGCGCUGCGGUUGCAGUUCAGAUUCUUUAACCACAGGAAAACACCUUUGAUAAAAUGAAGAACGUCGUCUAUCUCGACUGGGCGCAACCAGCUCGUAGCAUGCCAUUAAAGGAUAUAUAUCGGAAACGUCGCAUGGGACGUUUCUCCCGCAACUACAUGGUGGGUUAUCUUCCCCGCUACUAAGCACGCUGCGUUGUAUAGUUCAGUUAAGCUUAGACAGGCUUCUUAAUUUUAGAUAUAAUGUGCUAAUGUAUUAUUAAGGAAACACUACAGUUCUUUAUGUGUCUUUACAGUUGUUUUCAGAAUCCCCUCUUUCUCUUAUUGUGAUGGAGUGGCACACCAUUAAAAUUGCUAACACUGCCAAAGAAAUGACACAAGUUAAUAGCAUUUUUUAACUUCUUACCUUUUUCAUAUAGAGGAGAUAUCUAAAGUAAGAGGUGAACUGAAAUAAUUGUAAUCUAUGUUUUAGUGAUUAGUUUUUAGUAUGUAUAUUUAAUGUCUGUAAAUAUUGUUUUGAAUUGUAUUGUAUUGCCUACUUAUAAUUAUAUAUCUUUAUGACAUUCAAUGUGGGUAACGCCAUUGAGUGGCAUUUAUACGGUAAAAUAUUACAACAUAAUUGCUUAAGAUCGAUCGUGCCCAGUAAUUAUAUUUCAUUUCACUUCAUGUAGUGGUCAUUUUCACUUGAAAUAUUAGUCUUUGUAUCCAUGUAGCUAUCUUGCAGAAGCCUUAAUCAAUAAAUCAAUAAAAUGUU